ACUUCAUCUGGACCAAGUUCGUCCUGGCCCCUUGCAUGUUCCAUUAAGCCACACACAGCAAGUGUUUCAGCUCCUUCUUUCCCAGACUUCCCUACCUCCUACCUAACUCCAACCUUCAACUAGAUGUUGUUAUUUGACAGGGUCUCAGAAUCCUCUGGCUUACACAGCUUCUUCUGGGUAACUCAUGGCAUUUCAGCUUUUCAUAUGAUUCCUCUAUGCCCUAUUCCUCCCCCAAAUCAUGAUGGUUGUAUGAUGGCCCUCAUAUGAUCGCAUGGUGGUAGGGCCAAAGACCUCAGAUCCAUGCUCUGCCCCAGAGCUGAAACUUCAGCUUUGUGAUAUCUUGCCUGGUCCGGUCCCUGGGUUCUUCAUGAGACCGAGGAAUAGUAUGUGUGGUUGGUGACCUUCUAAUGAGUUCUCUUGGCAGGGUCAGAGCCUGGGAACCCCUUGGCUCACCUACUCCCACCCAGGUUCUUGCUGGUGGUGUGACUCCCUCUGAGGCUUGGACAGUUCUAUGCAGUUACUCCUCUGCUCCAGGGCCAGUUGCCCCUGUCCAGCACCGUUCCAUGUGCUUUCAUGGGUAACAAAGGAACUCUGGAACUUUUUGCACUAUAUUUAGGAGCCUAAGAGAGGCUGGAAGGUGUUGAAGAGGCUUGAAGUUCAGGCCUUCUCUGCUUCACUGCCAUUUUCACUCUGGUUUCUCCAAAAAAAGAUGCAAGUACAGGGAAUUGGAGAUACCAAAAAAAAUCCCAUCAACCUGGAUAGUGGUGCCUCUAGAUGGAAAUAAGCCCCAUGAGACUCCCAGAAGGAGGCCUGUGCCUCUCCCAAUGCUCAUCUGAUGGCUCCUUCCAUCUCAGACACAAGAGACAAGAAAUGAAGGCCAAUGAGUAGCUGCUUCAAUCCUACACACAGCCCAAAGAAAAGCAUACAUUUGUCUACAAACAGGGCAGUGCAAGGUAACUAACCUUUGACCGAAAUUAUAAUAAUUCAGUAUGGCAAUCUAUAUUUUUGAUCCAUUAAGAUGUGGAAGUCUAUUAUUACUUAAUAAUAAAUGAAUUUUAAGAACAUGGAACCAUGGGGAUAAAAGUCUAGAAUUUUGUGGAGCUGUAUCCCAGGAUAGCAUUGCAGCCCACCAAUGUGGGAUUCCAGAGAUUCACUGCUCUCUGAUUUGCUCAUGUGCUCAGUUAGUAAACAUGGGUUGAACAUUUACUGUGUCCCAGGCCCCUGUGCUGGGCACAUGCUGGGAGCUCAAUGCACUGGGGAGACAAGGGUCGCUUAAGUACUUUUAAGGUAGCUAUCACAGAAAGUGAUGCUGAUAUCCUUGCCAGACAAAGGAGCCAGUAAUGAAAUCCGUCCAGGCUAGUGGGGAUGCAGGUGAGAAGAAAAUGUGAAAAAAGUUUUGUAGCUGAGGAGAUGCUUUUAUCCAUUCAUUCACUUACUGAGUGAAUAUUUAUUGAGAAGUGAUCAUGUGCCAUGUAUUGCCCUGAGCACUGGAGAUGUGGCCUUGAACAAAAUCAACAUGGCCCUGCCUUCAUGUGGCUUAGGGUGUAGUGGAGCUGUGUCUUAAAAUGUCAGAAUGUGUCUUCUAUGUGGACGAAGUAGGAAAGGGCAUUCUACAUGGUGGAAAAGUGCAUGAACAGAGCAUAAAAUGGCCUGAGCUAACUGGACUGUGGGAGCUCUUUAGCAUGGCUAGAGCUUCAAGUCUCAGAGAGAAGGAUGGGUGCUAAGACCACCUAUAGGGUGAAAGUCAGACCAUGAGAGCUUGGUAGGCCCAGUUAAGAAAUUCAGGCUUUACUUAAGGCCAUGGGAAUCCACUGAAAAGAUUUAAGGUGGAAAAUGACAUAGUUAAGUAGUAGAUUAUUCUGAAAGCUACUUGAAAUAUAAUAAGGACAGCUAAAUAGUUUUUGUAUCCUCACUAAGUGCCAAGUACAAUUCUAAAGUGAUUUAUAUGUACUCAGUUAUUUCUUCCUCAUAAUAAUCAAGGUAGAUGUUACCAUUAUUUCAUACCUGUAUGAAAACUGAGGCACAGAUUAUGCAAUUUGUCCAAGGACAUCAGAGAGUAAAAAAUGGUGUCAGACAGUCUAACUCUAGGUCCUGAGACCUUAACAUUUAUGAGAAUAAAUUGGGAUGGGGAAGGUAGUGGUAAGACUAGAACUAGGGAGAUCAGUUCUGAUGCUAUUGCAAUAUUCAGAUAAGAUAUGAUGGUGGCCCAGACUGGGGUGUUGCAGUGGUGUGGCAGGCCAGGUCUCACUAAUACAGGCCUCCAUAACAACUGUUUCAGCAUUGGCUGAAUGGUUAAGUUAAAUAUUAGAAAUUGAUAGAGCCAGUGCCCUUAUACAAAGGCUGGAAUGUAACAAAAGUCCAGCAAGAGUUUUGCCUAGGCCUUUCCUGGGCUUUGAAGCAUGACAAGAUAAUGAAGGAAUUCUUAUCAGGACCCGUUUAGGAUUAAACAAGUUUUAUUGGGAAUCUGAAGAAACUCCCCAGACCUCCACAAACAAGUUUAUUGGGGGUCUGAAGGAACUCCACAAACCUCCAUGAUUUAGCAGGAGACAAGAUAAGGGUAAUCACCGCAGCACCUGGGCCCAUUUAGAUUAAGUAAAUUUACUGAGGCUCCAGAGGAAGGUCUUCAGGACUCAGCUCUUAGUUAUAGAUUAAAAGAAGUUAAUCACAUAUGUCUUUAGAUGAGUGCACACUUACACAUAGACAUAUAGCUUAGAAGGUAUAUAAUCUCUGAAAAAACUUUGUAAUUUUGAGUUUGGUGAUAUUCUCCAGGCUUUCUUCCUGUAACCAGUUACAGAAAUAAAAGCUCUCUUCCUCCCCA